rnacentral:rRNA from 1 species
AUGCAAGUCGAGCGCGAAAGCACUUCGGUGUGAGUAAAGCGGCGGACGGGUGAGUAACGCGUAGGAAUCUACCUAGUAGUGGGGGACAACUCGGGGAAACUCGAGCUAAUACCGCAUACGCCCUACGGGGGAAAGCGGGGGACCUUCGGGCCUCGUGCUAUUAGAUGAGCCUGCGUUGGAUUAGCUAGUUGGUGGGGUAAUGGCCUACCAAGGCGACGAUCCAUAGCUGGUCUGAGAGGAUGAUCAGCCACACCGGGACUGAGACACGGCCCGGACUCCUACGGGAGGCAGCAGUGGGGAAUAUUGCGCAAUGGGCGAAAGCCUGACGCAGCCAUGCCGCGUGUGUGAAGAAGGCCUGCGGGUUGUAAAGCACUUUUAUCGGGAAAGAAAAACCCAGGGUUAAUACCCCUGGCAUUGACGGUACCCGAAGAAUAAGCACCGGCUAACUCCGUGCCAGCAGCCGCGGUAAUACGGAGGGUGCAAGCGUUAAUCGGGAUUACUGGGCGUAAAGCGAGUGUAGGCGGCUGCGUAAGUCGGAUGUGAAAGCCCUGGGCUUAACCUGGGAAUUGCAUUCGAUACUGCGUAGCUAGAGUCUGAUAGAGGGAAGUGGAAUUCCGGGUGUAGCGGUGAAAUGCGUAGAUAUCCGGAGGAACACCAGUGGCGAAGGCGGCUUCCUGGAUCAAGACUGACGCUGAGGCUCGAAAGCGUGGGAGCGAACAGGAUUAGAUACCCUGGUAGUCCACGCCCUAAACGAUGUCAACUAGACGUUGGGUUCAUUAAGGAACUUAGUGUCGAAGCUAACGCGUUAGUUGACCGCCUGGGGAGUACGCGUAGUGAACUCAAAGAUGACGGGCCGCACAGCGUGAGCAUGUGUUAUCGAUGCACGCGAGACUACAGUCUGACAUCUCGACUGCGAAUGCUGUGCUCGA